rnacentral:rRNA from 1 species
ACACGUAGGGGGCGAGCGUUGUCCGGAAUUACUGGGCGUAAAGGGCGUGUAGGCGGUCUAUUAAGUCAGGCGUGAAAACCCUGGGCUUAACCUGGGGACUGCGUUUGAAACUGGCGGGCUUGAGGGCAGGAGAGGAAAGUGGAAUUCCCGGUGUAGCGGUGAUAUGCGUAGAUACCGGGAGGAGCACCAGUGGCGAAGGCGGCUUUCUGGACUGCACCUGACGCUGAGGCGCGAAAGCCAGGGGAGCGAACGGGAUUAGAUACCCCGGUAGUCCUGGCCGUAAACGAUGGGUACUAGGUGUGGGAGGUAUCGACUCCUUCCGUGCCGGAGUUAACACAAUAAGUACCCCGCCUGGGGAGUACGGCCGCAAGGCUGAA